UACGUAGGGUGCAAGCGUUAAUCGGAAUUACUGGGCGUAAAGCGUGCGCAGGCGGUGAUGUAAGACAGAUGUGAAAGCCCCGGGCUUAACCUGGGAAUGGCAGUGGAAACUGGGGGACUUGAAUUGAGCAGAGGGGGGUGGAAUGCCGCGUGUAGCAGUGAAAUGCGUAGAGAUGCGGCGGAACACCGAUGGCGAAGGCAGCCCCCUGGGCUUAAAUUGACGCUGAGGCACGAAAGCGUGGGGAGCAAACAGG
rnacentral:rRNA from 1 species